rnacentral:rRNA from 1 species
AAUCCUUCACCAUCUCGGUGACAGGAAAUGUGGUGUUUAGGCCGUACCUUGUCCCGACACGUCUCUCCUCAAGUCCACUUGAUUGUGGCCCCAGGCCCAGAGAGGGUGUAAGGCCCGUGGAGGCGAGACGUUCGGUACCUGGUGCGUCCUUAGAGUCGGGUUGUUUGGGAAUGCAGCCCUAAGCGGGUGGUAAACUCCAUCCAAGGCUAAAUACCAGCACGAGUCCGAUAGCGAAGAAGUACCGCGAGGGAAGGUUGAAAAGAACUUUGAAGAGAGAGUUCAAGAGUACGUGAAACCGCUGAGAGGCAAACUGGUGGAACUGAAAUGGUCCCGAGGAAUUCAGCCGUUGGUCGUUGCACAGUCUUUGGUGAUUGAUCUAACGACGGCGCCAUUGAAUGACGUUUCGAUCAUCGGUGCACUUUCCUCGCCUGGGCCCGACCACGACCGGUGAGCUGAUCUGUCUGUCGUGCUUGGAAGAUAGCGCCGUCUUCGGAAGGCGUGUUAUAGACAGGCAUACGGAGCAGUCGGCGCACUGGAUGAUAGUGCCUGCCCAUCUGGGCUCAUAUGGUGGUUGUUUUGUUGGCGAGUUCUGAUGUCACUACUUCGGUAGAGUCGUUAGACUCUGUUGGCAUUAUGGCUGUCCUCUAUGAUUGGCACUGUUAAGUCUGUGGUUGUGAAGUAGGUAGUCCACCUGACCCGUCUUGAAACACGGACCAAGGAGUCUAACAUGUGCGCGAGUCAUUGGGUUCACGAAACCUAAAGGCGCAGUGAAGGUAAAGAUCUGUUUUGGCAGAUUGAGGUGGGAUGCCGGGUUACGCGCCCGGCCGCACUACCGGCCCGUUCUAUAUGUCUUUCAUAGGAGCGGAGCAAGAGCGUACACGUUGGGACCCGAAAGAUGGUGAACUAUGCUUGCGCAGGUCGAA